rnacentral:lncRNA from 1 species
GGCUUCGUCCAUCAAAUUGAGAAGAGGUUAUAUCAAAAUUUUUCUCCAAUUGUAAAUUAGCAUAAGUUAGUCUAGGAUAAUAAUUCUUUAUCCUAGGUUAUCUAUAUCUUAUGUAAUUCAAUUAAUUUCUCCCUCAGAGUCUUCAGAAUAAUAUCUUUCUUCAUCUUGAGAUAUGCACAAUUCCUCAGAAGACUCAGCAAAUAAAUAAUUUAUCAUGUCUUUAAGAUUGAGAGCAUUCAUUUUAGCAUUAAUUUGAUUAAUAAAUUCAUCAUAAAAAGUUGGUCCUAAUU